GCCCGAAUGGCUCAGUGGUAAAGCGUCUCACUAGUACAGGCUGGCCCAGUCCGAGGACUGGGAGAGUGAACACGACAUGAGAAGAUCGCCAGUUCGAUUCUGGCUUUGGGCA
rfam:Glomerella graminicola M1.001 genomic scaffold supercont1.1, whole genome shotgun sequence.